rnacentral:tRNA from 3 species
GGGGGUAUAGCUCAGUUGGGAGAGCGCCUGCUUUGCAAGCAGGAUGUCGUCGGUUCAAGUCCGUCUACCUCCAC